GCAACAGGUCCAGAGAUGAUCCAGGGAAAACCUGUGAUGAUCCAGGGAAAACCUGUGAGGACAUAAAGCACAGAGACUCCAGGGAAGAAGGAGAGUCACAGGUAAUAUUAGACAUUAAGACAUUAGGAUAAUUAUUCAUAAAGUUUGCACAUAAAGUGAACGUCCAAGGCUUGCACUUUGAACUUCUCUGUAGUUUCCAGGUUCAACAGUUCUAUCCCGUUACCAACAGCAGGUGGCAGCAGACAGCCCAUAGUUUACAUUGUAGUUCUACAGAUAUAGGUUGAUAAAGGAUCAGCAGAAUAAACAGCGCACUAACCUCAUGUCCUCAUUAGCAUAUAUGGGCACAGACAUAUAUUUGAUCACUUCUGUCUACGGCUCUGAACAUUGGUCUGUUUUAAUCCUGUUUUUUAUCUAAUGCAUUUUCUAAGGAUAAAAUCUAAUCAGAGUUUUGAGCAGAAGCAGUUACAUGAAAUGAAUCACUCAAGUAUCCGAGGCUGUGUAUAUUGGAUGUUUUGUUGACUCGCAGUUCAAAGUCAGUAACAGGUUCAUGUUCAUGCUCUGUUUGACUAGAAUGAAAAUACAUUCAUAGACGUCAAAGCACAUCCACAGUGGAUCUGAAACCAACCAAUCAGAUGUUGAAGAGUGGACUUAAAUUCAAUACAUUUAACUCAAAUAUCACAAGAAACACUAAACAUAUGAAUUCCACCCAUUAGUUCUGUGGUACGUUCUAGGUCCUGGUCCAUCUUCGUCCUGUCAGGGUUUCAUCAUUGGUGUGAAUGUGGAUCAGCUGAUCCAUUCCCUUUCUGUGCUUGUGCUUCUAACAUGUCCUUCUUGUUGAGUUAACCCUGUAAGGGCACGCCCACCUCCUCAGGUGUGUUCUGGACUUGGAUUGGAUCUUCUACCAGGGCUUUUCUGUGGUAGUCCACUCCAGUUUCCAGGUCCAGGUGGAUUCUGUCUUUUUCUGUCCAUGUGUCUCCUAAUGUCUUCUCUUUCUCCGAUCGAUGGGUUUAGGUUUUUCAGCUCAAGUUGCACUGAUGCCUCUUUGGACCCAAUAUUGAGAAUUUAACAGGUACCAAAUAUAAGUUCAAUAUGUGGAUUCAACUCCAGACUUGUAUCUGCUUCAUGUGUCCUAAAACAACCAGGAACAGGAAACAUCUGGACAUGAAGCUGAUUCAGUCUGUGGAAACAGACGGACAAGGGUUCAGUGGUUGGAAUUCAUCAAAAAUUGACUUCAACUCCUUUAAAGUCCACAUUCAACUUCAUCUAGAUUGGUUCAUUUCAGCAGCUUUACAGAACUAGUUUCAAUCUCCAAAUCCUUCUGGACUCGCUUUGACAUCAUCCCUUAUGUACUGUUUAUAUCAAUAUUUAUUGACAAAUUGUUAAGUAUAUGACAUAUUUAUUUAGUAUAAAUGUUCAAAACAAAUACAAUAGUCACUUUCUGUGGAUGAACAGAAACUGUCAGGUUUCCGGACUCUGACAUAUGAACAUGAAUGUACACUAGUGUCAAUCCGAAUCGCUAACCUCACCUGUAGAACAUAUAUUCUGUCCAUCAACACCAGGCCUGGACCAGAGACCUACAGUUAAAGGGGUCCCUCCGUCCAGAACACCACCUGAACUGGUCCAGUUUGGACCUUUUACAGUAAUAAAACAGUCUGAAGGCGAUUAGAGUCGGUCCUUAAAGUAUCAGUGGAUGGUGGAGACCUGAUCCCUGUGGAUGUUCCUGGUCCAUGUCAGGAUGAGUGUGGACAAGGUCUCAGACUCAGCUGGAAUCACACAGCGACAUCUACGAGGAUGAUGAGGAUGAAGAAUAAGCUGCUGGUAUGUGCAUCAUCACCACCUCCACCUGUCAAUGUAUGACCUUUGACCUUUAAAGCCAUAACGUGCAAACUGAGUCAGAAAGGAAAACUAUUUCAACUGCAGUUCAUCACAUCAUCAGCAGGUGGUGCUGUGUCCCCAAGGCCACAUGUCCACGAGGACAGUCCAUUUCUUGACCCAUUUCUAGGGCUGCAACUAAUGAUAAUUUUGAUAAUUGAUUAGCCUGUAGAUUAUUUUAAUAACUAAUCAAUUCAUCGGAUAAACAUAAAAGACUCAGUUCUCACAGAUCAGUAUUUAACCCACAGUAAUAUAUUCCGCAGAUGAGUCACUAAUGAUUCCAUUCCAUAAUGACUUCAGGUUUAGUUAGUGAGCACUAACCCACUACCUAGACUGGUUCUGGUUCCAGACUAGGCAGAUCUAGUCCGGAACCAGCUGUGGUUCUAGUCUAUUAAACUAGUGUUGGAUGGAUUACUUCAGUUAAUGAUAGGUACCGUCAGUCUGGUGCUCUGAUAAACGCACAUGGAUGAAAACGAUACAGUUACCACAAUAGUGUCAAACUAGCUAAUGGGCUAAAGUAAUCAGAACACAUAGGCUAACUUAAGAUAGGUUUACAUUCUGUUCCCGGUGGACACCACAGCCCUAUUCAGCCCAAACCUAGUGCACAGUGGGAUUUGGUCCAUUUUUUCUCCAUAUUUCAGUUUUGUUCCAUAAACGGUGUGGUCUGUUUGGUCUAAAUGGAGCUGUCGAUGGCACCGCCAACAGAAUGGAAACCUAAUUAUACUUUUCUUUUUUCUUUUGUUCAGACAAAGUAUAGUUUUUAGAUGUUACCUGCUUGACAGUUUUGACUGUGACAAAAAGAAAAGUAUAAUAUUAUAAACAGAAGACAAAAUGAACGUCAGUAGCCUUAUCCAAGAAAGUUUUGGACAUGAUGGUGUCAAGGCUCUCCACCGACUGGAAAAGUUGGAAAAAACGCGAGCCCACCAGAAAAACCACCUAAGAUUUAACAUGCGAAACUCAAACGUUGGAUCAAGGAGGCGAUAGAGAUCAGGAGGCGGGUGAGCGGCACCAUCAACCAGGACAAGGGGGCGUGCACCCUCUCGCACACCUGGGAUUCCCUCCUCCAGAGACCACCCAAGGCGGAGGAGGCACAGUCAGCUCGACGGGCUCUGAUUGGUCUGUUGAGCCGAGCAGCUGAUAAAUGGCGCGUCAGCAGCAUGUCAGAUGAUACUUCUGAGGAAGACUGGAGUCACAGUCGAAACUGUUAAGCAGGUAACAUCUAAAAACUAUACUUUGUCUGAACAAAAGAAAAAACAAAAGUAUACUUACAUAAACAGAAGACAAAAUGAACGUCAUUAGCCUUAGAAUGAAAACCUAGCUUUAAUAUGUGUCCAUCAUUGGAAGCCUUAGCCAUGCUGCUGUGGGUUUUCCUCUGGUACACUAGUGGGGACACGCCUCCAUACUAACGGGAUCAACACCCAGCCAAUCAACUGAUGAAUUCAUUGGCAACUCUUUUAAGAAUCGAUUUGGAUUCAUUUAAUGGAUUUGUUGUUGCAGCACUACCCAUUUCUGUGGUUUUUCUUGUUGGUUCUGUUGGAUUCCGGGUCCAUCUGGAUCUUGAUCUGGACUUUCCUGACCAGAACAGACUGAGGACUUCAUGCAAAUCAAACACUGGAUUUCUAUUUUAUUUUCUUCUUCUUUUUUUUUUGCACAUUUUGAAGGUGUGGUCCAGUCUUGUCGCUGAACUCAGAUUAGUCAUAAAAACUGGGUCAAACACAUGAUUUACUUUAAAAAGGUACAAUAGUGGGAAAAAGCUUGUUCUCAUUUGUUGUGAUUUUGUAAAGUCUGAAGCCGAUGUUCAAACCGACUUCAUCAGAUGAAGUGUUGAUUCAUUUUCACUUGUGUUUAUUUUUAUUAUUGUUGUUUUUAACAAAUAUUAAAGUUCCUUGUGACGUGAAGAACGUUUCCAUUCAAGCUAUCAACGGUGCCGGUUUUCAGUCAAGUCCAUAAAACAGAUGGACUGAGGCUGCAGGUCCUGGGUCCACCUGCAGGAGGCGCUGCUCCUUUAUUGUUUUCAUGUUCAUUUGCUGCUCGUCCUGUUCCAUCUGUUGUUAAUUCUUUUUGUAUGAAUGUAAAAGGUUUUAAAACUGCAGCACAAAAGACAUUCAUGAAAGUAAACAUAAAGAUGGAUCAGGUCUGGGAUCAGGUCUGGGACUGAUCGUCUGAAACCUUGGAGGAUCCUGGACUGAAAUGACUGCACACAUUAAUCACCAACAUGUAACCUGAUAUUUGAGCAAAUAAACUGUUCCACUCA